AAUCAACGCUGGCGGCGUGCCUAACACAUGCAAGUCGAACGAGAAAGCGGGGGCAACCCUGUGAGUAAAGUGGCGACCGGGUGAGUAACACGUGACUAACCUACCCUCGAGUGGGGAAUAACCUCGGGAAACCGGGGCUAAUACCGCAUAACAUCCUAGGCUGCAAUGCCGGGGAUCAAACGCGUAAGUGGCUUGAGGAGGGGGUCGCGGCCGAUUAGCUAGUUGGUGGGGUAAUGGCCCACCAAGGCUGUGAUCGGUAGCCGGCCUGAGAGGGCGCACGGCCACACUGGAACUGAAACACGGUCCAGACUCCUACGGGAGGCAG
rnacentral:rRNA from 1 species